GGGAUAAAGUAUACUUCCUUUUUUAUGAAAUUAUAUUACGGAAUGGUGUUAUAACUUAGUAAAGAGGAAGGAUCUUGUGAAAGUGAUUAUGUUACACGGGAAGAAAACCCGCUUGGUCAGUAGAGAUCGAUUGUUUUGAGGUCAUUGGUCAAGCUACUCAGUGAGGAGAGCGAUCAGUCAGAGAGUCCUGUAGGAUCCAGAUAAUUUAGAUCUCAAUCCUGUCGAGGAGUUCGAAUGUUCAUUUGUUGAUGGAACUAGCUGGAUUGUGAUGAUUUCUGGGUUUUCUACGAAGAUUGCAGUGUUGGGUACCGGAAUCUGACCCUAGAAAGUGAUUGUUUUGGUCCUUGGUAUGGUUUUUAACCUGUAUCUGCCCUAGUCGGGUGAGUCAAGAUGGCCGUACUUAAAAGAUUGAUACGUGCAGCAUUUUUUACCAAAAUUAACGGUGUUUUGUGAUCGAUUACGAAAGUUUGAAUUUGUUGACAUAUAUAAAAGAUUGAUAUAUUUGGAAGAAUGUUUCCAAAGUUUGCUAUAUAAAUUGUGAAUUCAUAUAUUUUACAAUGAAAGAAACUAUUGCAAAAGA